rnacentral:rRNA from 1 species
AUACGUAGGUGACAAGCGUUAUCCGGAUUUACUGGGCGUAAAGGGCGUGUAGGCGGUCUUGCAAGACAGAAGUGAAAUUCCCGGGCUUAACUUGGGCGCUGCUUCUGAAACUGCUUUACUUGAGUGCUGGAGAGGAUAGUGGAAUUCCUAGUGUAGCGGUAAGAUGCGCAGAUAUUAGGAGGAACACCGGUGGCGAAGGCGGCUAUCUGGACAGUAACUGACGCUGAGGCGCGAAAGCACGGGGAGCAAACAGGAUUAGAUACCCUGGUAGUCCGUGCCGUAAACGAUGAAUACUAGGUGUAGGGGGUAUCGACUCCCUCUGUGCCGCAGUUAACACAUUAAGUAUUCCACCUGGGGAGUACGGCCGCAAGGUUGAAACUCAAAUGAAUUGGCGGGG